GCCCGUUCGCUGAUACACAUACCGCCGUCGUCUCUUCUACUCGGCCAUCUCUGGUUAAAUCCUCUCUCUAAUAUUCCUCGUGUCUCCCCCUCCAAUCUUCCUUCUAAAUCUGCAGAUGGAGAGAAGCAGAACUGGGGUUUCUUUUACGGCGACAUCGUCGUCUAAGAGAACGUUCGAAGAGUCACCAGUUACGACGUCAACGAGUUGGUUGUCGAAAGCCUCGCUAGCAAGUUAAUAACCUGCAACUCCCUGACGCUUCUUUAUGAUCUUUACCUUUUAUAUUUGAUGAUUUUUCCGAACUAACGGAAGCAUUUAGUUCGAAUUUUUUUUUCAUCUGAUACCCAUUUUGAAUAUCUUUUAAUGAGAUCUUAUCUUUCUUUUUUCCUGGCUAUGCUUCUUAAUCUGGUCGAUGAGCUUUCUCCUCUUUGCUCUUUGGCUCGUUCCCUUGAAGCGACAUUAAGAUCAUUCAUUCGAUCUGUCCUUUUUGUAUUUUAUUCCUGUGGAUUGUUUCAGCCUAUCUUCGGGGUUGGGGAGAUCGAUUGACACGUUGUAAGUCUAACUAUCUUUCGUCGUUUACUUUCGCGAACUGUUUGUUUUCCCUUUUGUUUUGAUCUGAAUUACUAUUUAAUAUCAGAUGUUUAAUGUCUGCUCGUCUGGCAGAUAAGACAACAGUGAUGAUCCUACAGACCUGUAAUGAUUCUGCGGAUAUGAUCGCAGAUAUAAUGCUGAAUAACAUCUAAGGGACUGAGUAUUUUUAUUCUAUGCUAUCAUUUUCUGUGGUAGUCUGAUGACUACCUUUUACGAGUUUCAUCCUCGAUUGUUUUUCUGGAUCAUUCUUUUACUUGUUUUGAUGGACUGGUUUCGUACUCUGGCUAUGCUUCUUAAUCUGGUCGAUGAGCUUUCUCCUUUAUGCUCUUUGGCUCGUUCCCUUGAAGCUACAUUAAGAUCUUUCAUUCGAUCUGUCCUUUUGUAUUCCAUUCCUGUGGAUUGUUUCAGCCUAUCUUCGGGGUUGGGGAGAUCGAUUGACACGUUCUAUGUCUGAUAUCAAGAGGUAAUUAUGAUCAAUAUUUAUUUGUCUCAUUUUGUUUUGAUAAUGGGCACAAGUAUUGUAGUGUUUGAUGGCUCCUGCUGUUGAUGAUAGAAUUACGUUUUGAGUGACCAGCCAUAAGUUUUUUAGUUGUUUACAUUUUGAUGUUCUAAACAUGAAUAACAUUGGAGGAAAGCAGCUAGUGAAAUGUGACAUCGUCUUUCGCGAUUGUUUUUUGUGUGUGUUUGUGUAAUUUAAGUGCCUUUGGGCUUCAUCACUUUAAUCAAGACCUUUAUAUUGCUCGUCUAUUUAGAGGUCUGUUGUGUUUGAAGCGAGAAAAAAUGGCUGCCUCGCUAUCCGCUGCAAACUCUUCUGUUUUGCAUUUGGACGUUGGUAUUUGCUACGUUUGUUGUUUUCUCCCAACUUUGAGCCUAAGCUACGACGAUAGUGAACUCUCUGAGCAGUUGACAUACAUCAUGAAACGUGGUUGGGAGGGACGCGCUGAGAACCAAAGAUGUGGUGUAUUGGCAAAUUCAUCAUCAAUCUCUAUAUUACCCCUUGCUUACCUCCCGACAACUCAUCAUAUUAUGAUAUAAUGCAAACCAGAAACAAAGCAGAGCCAUUAUUAUUAUCUCUUAAUUGAAACAAGUUUUUCUAGUGUAUGUACCAUGAUGAUUGAUUUUAGCCAUUUAUUUUUAAUAUGUACCAAUUGAACUUGGUCACUUUUUCUCUUAAA